CCCGUCUCUACUAAAAAUACAAAAAAAAUUGCCCGGGCUUGGUGGUGAGCACCUGUAAUCCCAGCUACUCAGGAGGCUGAGACAGGAGAAUCGCUUGAACUCGCGAGGCAGAGGUUGCAGUGAGCCGAGGUGGCACCACUGCACUCCAGCCUGGGGGACAGAGUGAGACUCUGUCUCAAAAAACAAACAAACAAAAAACAAACUACAAUCUUCCUUUUGGAUUUUAUUCCUAGAGUGAGAUGCUACAGCAGUCAGGAAGUUGGGUCUCUAAUGCAAGUGAAGUAGAAAGGAAAAAAUCUGUCAACAAUAUAUUUCCCCAGCUGAACAGCAGUAAGUUAUCCAGAAGUAAAUUAACUCCCCAGUUAAGGUAUAAUUCAGUUCUCUAGAAAGAUAGUUUCUCUCUUGGAGAGAUUUUAUAAAGUCUUAUGGUGACUAGAUAAAUAAAAGUUAAUUAUUAAAGAAGAAAAUAUAUCAAGAUGUUAAUAAUGUUAAUGUCUGAUGGGGAGAUUAUAGAUGAUUCUAACUUUUUCUAUAUACUUUUCAUAUAUUCCACAAUUUUCAUAAUCAGCAUAUAUUUAUAAGUAAAAAAUAAACAUUAUAUUGGGGAAAAAUAGCUUGGGUUUAAAUAGCUGUUUCCUUCCAAAGAAUUAUCAGAAUUAUGGCAGGGCAUGGUGGCUCAUGCCUGUAAUCACAGCACUUUGGGAGGCCAAGGAGGGUGGAUCACUUGAAGUCGGCAAUUCGAGACUAGCCUGGCCAACAUGGCGAAACUCUGUCUCUACUAAAAAUACAAAAAUUAACUGGACAUGGUGGUGCACACCUGUAAUCUCAACUGCUCGGGAGGCUGAGGCACGAGAAUCACCUGAAUCCGGGAAGUGGAGGUUGCAGUGAGCUAAGAUAUUACCACUGCAUUCCAACCUGGGUGACAGAGCAAGACUGUCUCAAAAAAAAAAAAAAAAAA
rnacentral:lncRNA from 1 species